CCUACGGGGGGCUGCAGUGGGGAAUAUUGGACAAUGGGCGAAAGCCUGAUCCAGCCAUGCCGCGUGUGUGAAGAAGGCCUUCGGGUUGUAAAGCACUUUCAGUGGGGAAGAAAGCCUUGGGGCUAAUACCCUCGAGGAAGGACAUCACCCACAGAAGAAGCACCGGCUAACUCCGUGCCAGCAGCCGCGGUAAUACGGAGGGUGCGAGCGUUAAUCGGAAUUACUGGGCGUAAAGCGCGCGUAGGCGGUCUGAUAAGCCGGUUGUGAAAGCCCCGGGCUCAACCUGGGAACGGCAUCCGGAACUGUCAGGCUAGAGUGCAGGAGAGGAAGGUAGAAUUCCCGGUGUAGCAGUGAAAUGCGUAGAGAUCGGGAGGAAUACCAGUGGCGAAGGCGGCCUUCUGGACUGACACUGACGCUGAGGUGCGAAAGCGUGGGUAGCAAACAGGAUUAGAUACCCCGGUAGUC
rnacentral:rRNA from 1 species